rnacentral:rRNA from 1 species
GACAGAGGCCUCGAGCGUUAGGCGGAAUCACUGGGCUUAAAGCGUGUGUAGGCGGAUCGUUAAGUACCUUGUGAAAUCCCACGGCUCAACCGUGGAACGGCUGGGUAUACUGGCGGUCUUGGGCCAUUCAGGGGCGACUGGAACAAGCGGUGGAGCGGUGAAAUGCGUAGAUAUCGCUUGGAACGCCGAAGGUGAAAACAGCUCGCUGGGGACUCGCUGACGCUGAGACACGAAAGCCAGGGGAGCGAACGGG